AUGCAGGAUAAGUUACAGUGCAGCUUGUUUCGUGCUGUGUUGUCGUUCCCCCUGCAAACAAUAACUUGUUUCCAGCUAUCCCUGUCUGCCUAAAACUACUAGCAGCCAAGGGACGCAAGGUUUCAGACAU